CUGUCUGUUGCUGCGCGCGCCCCCGCUGGCUCGCCGCCACCGGUUUCUUCCGAGUCUGGCAGGCAGCUUAGCCCUACCUGGAGUGGGAGUGGCGUCAAAAUUCAAAGGAACUGCCGCAGUUGGAGGCGUUGUACCGCCUGCUUCGAGACGGUUGGCGGCCUGGAGUGGCCUUGACCUCACCCCAACUCUAAUCCGGGUGGCAGCCGCUCUGCCGAAGGGACCUUGGAGGACAGAACUACACGGGUGCCUCUGUGGCCGCUUUUAACUUCAAAGGACUGUGUAAAAAGACCAGACACAGCAGGGAGUCUUCAGACUUUUCCCAUGAAUGCUUUCAACCAUCUGUGACAACAUCUUACUUUACAUAUGCAGUUAACUGGACAGCAGACACAACUCUUCAUGGAUGGGCAGCACCUCUGAACCACAUGCUGCACUGUCAGCCAUGAUGCUAUUGUCUUCAGAUCUUCUUAAAUGAAUUUAAGGCUCAACCAAGUGAGAAAGGGCAUUCCACAGCAUGAACGGACUCAUGUUUUCACUUUCUCUCUGUAUACAGUUUUGAGAGCCAGGAAUUCUUAGGCUGUUUUCUGAAGCAAGGAUGAUAACAAUAUCCAGGCACAAAUGCCAAGCAGACCAAUGAGAUAAUAAACUAUAAAUUUC
rnacentral:lncRNA from 1 species